UAGGGAAUCUUCCGCAAUGGGCGAAAGCCUGACGGAGCAACGCCGCGUGAGUGAUGAAGGUCUUCGGAUCGUAAAACUCUGUUAUUAGGGAAGAACAAAUGUGUAAGUAACUAUGCACGUCUUGACGGUACCUAAUCAGAAAGCCACGGCUAACUACGUGCCAGCAGCCGCGGUAAUACGUAGGUGGCAAGCGUUAUCCGGAAUUAUUGGGCGUAAAGCGCGCGUAGGCGGUUUUUUAAGUCUGAUGUGAAAGCCCACGGCUCAACCGUGGAGGGUAAUUGGAAACUGGAAAACUUGAGUGCAGAAGAGGAAAGUGGAAUUCCAUGUGUAGCGGUGAAAUGCGCAGAGAUAUGGAGGAACACCAGUGGCGAAGGCGACUUUCUGGUCUGUAACUGACGCUGAUGUGCGAAAGCGUGGGGAUCAAACAGG
rnacentral:rRNA from 1 species